CUUGGGAAGCCCACCUGGAGCACAUCUCAGUAGUGCUCAACCGCAUUCAGAAUGCAGGGCUAACCUUGAAGCCUGAGAAAUGUCACGUGGGCAUGGCUGAAGUCCAAUAUUUAGGUCACCGGGUAGGGUCAGGGAAACAGAGACCAGAGCCCGCUAAGAUUGAGGCCAUUACCCAGUGGCCUCAACCCAGGACAAAAACCCAGGUCAUGGCGUUCUUAGGCACCGCAGGUUAUUACCGGAAAUUUGUAGCAGAAUACAGUGCCCUUGCCAAACCCUUGACAGACCUCACCAAAAAGUCCCUACCCCGACAAGUAAUCUGGUCCCCUGAGUGUGAGGAGGCGUUCCAGAAACUCAAGGCUGCGUUAAGUGCAUCUCCUGUGUUAGCGGCACCGGACCAUACU